rnacentral:rRNA from 1 species
GACGAACGCUGGCGGCGUGCUUAACACAUGCAAGUCGAACGGGGUGCCCAUGAAAGAGAUUUCGGUCAAUGGAGUGGGUUACUUAGUGGCGGACGGGUGAGUAACGCGUGAGGAACCUGCCUUUCAGAGGGGGACAACAGCUGGAAACGGCUGCUAAUACCGCAUAACAUAUUGUUGUCGCAUGGCAAUGAUAUCAAAGAUUUAUCGCUGAGAGAUGGCCUCGCGUCUGAUUAGCUAGUUGGUAGGGUAACGGCCUACCAAGGCGACGAUCAGUAGCCGGACUGAGAGGUUGGCCGGCCACAUUGGGACUGAGAUACGGCCCAG